rnacentral:lncRNA from 1 species
GAGUUCCGGCCACCGGAAUCAAGAAUAAGAAGCCCUCACCGGGGACCAAUCCGCGCCUCAUUCCGAAGAGGGGGGCCGUCUUGAUCCGCAUUCUGAAGAGCCUCUUCUCUUGCUGUACCUCGAAGGGUUCGACAUCGGGCGAGAAGAAGGAUAAGGAGUAGUCAUGCUCAAUUUUGACAAAACAAAUGUUAGUGAAGCUAGGUAUGUUUAGUUAUUUAUGAUGCAAUGGUAUUAGGUUCCUUCGAAACAGGGGACUGCCUGCUAGUGCUAGCGCUCUCCCCUUAAGUAGGAGGAUUGGUGAUGUUCACAACAAAGUUUAGUUGACAGGCAGUGAUGUUCUACUACAAUUUGUACAAGUUGACAAUUCCAACUUACACUGCCAUGUAAUCCACAUAUUCGCUCUUGGCUUUGAGUACCUCUGGGUUUCUGAUCAUCUAUU